UCCAGGGUAGCCUAGUGGAAAUGGCAUCUGCCCGAUAAGCCGACCACUGUGGGUUCGAUUCCCAUCACUGAGU
rnacentral:tRNA from 1 species